UGGCUACAGAACGAACGCUGGCGGCAGGCCUAACACAUGCAAGUCGAACGCUGUAGCAAUACAGAGUGGCAGACGGGUGAGUAACGCGUGGGAACAUGCCCUUCGGUUCGGAAUAACUCAGGGAAACUUGAGCUAAUACCGGAUACGCCCUUAGGGGGAAAGAUUUAUUGCCGAAGGAUUGGCCCGCGUCCGAUUAGCUAGUUGGUGAGGUAAAGGCUCACCAAGGCGACGAUCGGUAGCUGGUCUGAGAGGAUGAUCAGCCACACUGGGACUGAGACACGGCCCAGACUCCUACGGGAGGCAGCAGUGGGGAAUAUUGGACAAUGGGCGCAAGCCUGAUCCAGCCAUGCCGCGUGAGUGAUGAAGACCCUAGGGUUGUAAAGCUCUUUCGCCAGGGACGAUAAUGACGGUACCUGGAUAAGAAGCCCCGGCUAACUUCGUG
rnacentral:rRNA from 1 species